CCUACGGGAGGCAGCAGUGGGGAAUAUUGGGCAAUGGGCGCAAGCCUGACCCAGCAACGCCGCGUGAAGGAAGAAGGCUUUCGGGUUGUAAACUUCUUUUGUCAGGGAAGAGUAGAAGACGGUACCUGACGAAUAAGCCACGGCUAACUACGUGCCAGCAGCCGCGGUAAUACGUAGGUGGCAAGUGAUGUCCGGAUUUACUGGGUGUAAAGGGCGUGUAGCCGGGUUGACAAGUCAGGUGUGAAAUCCUGCGGCUUAACCGCAGAACUGCAUUUGAAACUGUUGAUCUUGAGUACUGGAGAGGCAUACGGAAUUCCUGGUGUAGCGGUGAAAUGCGUAGAUAUUAGGAGGAACACCAGUGGCGAAGGCGGUCUGCUGGACAGCAACUGACGGUGAGGCGCGAAAGCGUGGGGAGCAAACAGGAUUAGAUACCCUUGUAGUC
rnacentral:rRNA from 1 species